UGGCUCAGAUUGUAGAGCAUGGUGUUUGCAACGCCAGGGUUGUGGGUUCAAUUCCCAC
rnacentral:tRNA from 1 species